CUUAUCUCUGCUCUCAUUAAUUUGUUUGCUUGUUGCUAUUUAUGUUGCUUCAGGUCAUUUCCUGCCACAAGCAGUGUCGUGUUCUUGCUUGGAGCACCUGAGAUGGUGGCCAUCUCCUCAGGGCAUCAAGGGACAACAUUAAUGCAGACAAUGGUAGGCUCAAAGCAGGAAUC
rnacentral:lncRNA from 1 species